UCUCGAUUGGUCUAGUGGUCAGGAUACCUGCUUGUCAUUUAUAGCAAGUCCGCAGGUGGCCGGGGUUCGAUUCCCCGAUCGAGAG